rnacentral:rRNA from 1 species
GUCAUAGAGGGUGAGAAUCCCGUACGUGACCGGUUGGCAACCCCAUGUGAAACUCCUUCGACGAGUCGAGUUGUUUGGGAAUGCAGCUCUAAAUGGGUGGUAUAUUUCAUCUAAAGCUAAAUAUUGGCCAGAGACCGAUAGCGCACAAGUAGAGUGAUCGAAAGAUGAAAAGCACUUUGGAAAGAGAGUUAAAAAGUACGUGAAAUUGUUGAAAGGGAAGCGCUUGCAACCAGACUUGCCCGGGGGUGAUCAACUGUCCUUUUGGGCGGUGCACUCUCCCCCGGUCAGGCCAGCAUCGAUUCGGGCGGUGGGACAAAGGUCCCGGGAACGUGGCCCACUUCGGUGGGUGUUAUAGCCCGGGGCGUAAUGCUACCAGCCUGGAUCGAGGACCGCGCUUCGGCUAGGAUGCUGGCGUAAUGGUUGCUAGCGACCCGUCUUGAAACACGGACCAAGGAGUCGACCAACUCUGCGAGUGUUUGGGUGUCAAACCCGUGCGCGUAAUGAAAGUGAACGGAGGUAAGAACCCGCAAGGGCGCAUUAUCGACCGAUCCUGAUGUCUUCGGAUGGAUUUGAGUAAGAGCAAAGUUGGUCGGACCCGAAAGAUGGUGAACUAUGCGUGAAUAGGGUGAAGCCAGAGGAAACUCUGGUGGAGGCUCGCAGCGGUUCUGACGUGCAAAUCGAUCGUCAAAUUUGCGU